CUGAAACCAUUCAACCAGAGUCAGUGAAGGCCAUCUGUAACCUGCAACAUGCUCAACCUCAUCACCAGAGCUUAUCGAUUAUUUCAGAUGCAUCUGUGGAUCCUUCAUUACAAUCUCAGAAGUUAGUUGAUGUUAAAGCCGAACAACGCAGAGACAGAUUCAUCAAAGACUGGAUAUAUUGGAUAAACGAACAUCGCAAACCAGAUAAACAACAGCUGAGCUAUUCACCACUCAACAACUGGUUCCUUAACAACUAUGAGAAGCUGAAGAUUAUAGACGGAGUGCUGUACAGAGAGAUAGAAUCUGAUGGUGAAACUUCAAGACAACUAGUUCUCCCAGAAAACUGCAUAUCCACAGUUCUCACAUCUUUACAUGAUGAUAUGGGCCACCAGGGAAGAGACAAGACCUUAUCAUUGGUACGUGAUCGCUUCAUCUGGUAUGGUAUGAACAGAGACAUCGAGAACUGGAUUACCAACUGCGAAAGAUGUAUUCGUCGAAAACAGCUUCCGAAUGAUAGAGCUCCACUUAUCAGCAUAGAAACAACACAACCUUUAGAACUGGUUUGCAUGGAUUACUUGAAAACUUGAAAGAUCAAAAGGAGGAUAUGAAAACAUUUUGGUAAUCACAGACCACUUCACCAGAUAUGCUUUAGCAGUUCCUACAAAGAACCAGACCGCACGAACUACAGCAGAUGCGUUUUUCAACAACUUCAUUGUACACUAUGGAUUGCCUAGUCGUAUUCAUUCGGAUCAAGGAGCGAACUUUGAGAGCAAGAUCAUCAAAGAACUCUGCAACAUUACAGGAAUGGAAAAGUCCCGAACAACACCUUACCAUCCUAUGGGUAACGGACUUACAGAGAGAUUCAACCGUACAUUAUUGAACAUGCUUGGAACUCUACAGACUACGCAGAAG
rnacentral:lncRNA from 1 species